rnacentral:misc_RNA from 1 species
UGUGGGGGCGAGCUUGCUCGCGAUAGCGGUGUGUCAGUCAGCACCAAUAUUGACCGAUCGGCUGCUAUCGCGAGCAAGCUCGCCCCCCAC